UACGAAGGGGGCUAGCGUUGUUCGGAAUCACUGGGCGUAAAGCGCACGUAGGCGGACUUUCAAGUCAGGGGUGAAAUCCCGGGGCUCAACCUCGGAACUGCCUUUGAUACUGUUGGUCUCGAGUCCGGAAGAGGUGGGUGGAAUUCCUAGUGUAGAGGUGAAAUUCGUAGAUAUUAGGAAGAACACCGGUGGCGAAGGCGGCCCACUGGUCCGGUACUGACGCUGAGGUGCGAAAGCGUGGGGAGCAAACAGG
rnacentral:rRNA from 1 species